AUACGUAGGGGGCAAGCGUUGUCCGGAAUUACUGGGCGUAAAGGGCCUGUAGGCGGCAUGGUAAGUCCGUAGUGAAAUCUCCCGGCUUAACUGGGAGCGUGCUAUGGAUACUGCCAAGCUAGAGAUCAUCAGAGGAGAGCGGAAUUCCCGGUGUAGUGGUGAAAUGCGUAGAUAUCGGGAGGAACACCAGUGGCGAAAGCGGCUCUCUGGGGUGGUUCUGACGCUGAGGGGCGAAAGCGUGGGGAGCAAACCGGAUUAGAAACCCGAGUAGUCC
rnacentral:rRNA from 1 species